UUUCUCUUAAGCGGAUACUCUGCAAGGAUCUCAGACAACACACGGCUGUAUUCAGAAAGUGAUGAUAUGAAACUCAUGGUUGAUCGAGUCAGCUUGUGAAUCCCUCCUCCUGCAGUAAGUGCUUUCGAAGAAUCCUUCUGUAAUGUCGACUCAAAUUCCGUGAGACUUGUGUGGAUUGAUUCCUUGAGUUUCUUCAGCGAUGAGAGCACCAGAGUUUUGACAGCAGCUACUGAAUCAAAAUGGAAUAUCAGUUCUAUGUCUGGCCUAAGGUCAGAGAUUGCUGCAUAGAGGUCCAUCAGCCUGAAGAUCCUC
rnacentral:lncRNA from 1 species